GGAGUUAGCUCGUAGGUGACCUGCGGAAGGAUCAUUACCGAGUUAGGGUUCCUCUGGGGCCCGACCUCCCAACCCUGUGUCUAUGUUACCUCAAGUUGCUUCGGCGGGCCGGACUCGACCAACUGGUCGUGACCGCCGGCUCCCUUCCGGGGGCUGGAGAGCUGCCCGCCGACGGCCCAAACAUAAACUCUUGUACUUAAACCAUGUCGUCUAAAACAUUGUGAUUGUAUAAUCAAAAACAAAACUUUCAACAACGGAUCUCUUGGUUCUGGCAUCGAUGAAGAACGCAGCGAAAUGCGAUAAGUAAUGCGAAUUGCAGAAUUUCCGUGAGUCAUCGAAUCUUUGAACGCACAUUGCGCCCACUGGUAUUCCGGUGGGCAUGCCUGUUCGAGCGUCAUUAUCCUCUCUCAAACCCCGGGUUUGGUGUUGGACCCAAGUUGGGCAUCUCGACCAACUGGUCUCAAAGACAAUGACGGCGUCCGUGGGACCCUCUUCGCAACGAGCUUCUCGGAGCACGCGUCGAGUUUAAAGGACCUUCCGGGCCGGUCUAACCUCUAUAUUUUUCUCAGGUUGACCUCGGAUCAGGUAGGAAUACCCGCUGAACUUAAGCAUAUCAAAACG
rnacentral:rRNA from 1 species